CCUACGGGUGGCAGCAGUGAGGAAUAUUGGUCAAUGGACGCAAGUCUGAACCAGCCAUGCCGCGUGCAGGAUGACGGCUCUAUGAGUUGUAAACUGCUUUUGUACGAGGGUAAACCCCGAUACGUGUAUCGGGUUGAAAGUAUCGUACGAAUAAGGAUCGGCUAACUCCGUGCCAGCAGCCGCGGUAAUACGGAGGAUCCGAGCGUUAUCCGGAUUUAUUGGGUUUAAAGGGUGCGUAGGCGGUUUGAUAAGUUAGAGGUGAAAUGUAGGGGCUCAACCCCGAAACUGCCUCUAAUACUGUUGGACUAGAGAAUAGUUGCGGUAGGCGGAAUGUAUGGUGUAGCGGUGAAAGGCUUAGAGAGCAGACAGAACACCGAUUGCGAAGGCAGCUUACCAAACUAUAUCUGACGUUGAGGCACGAAAGCGUGGGUAGCAAACAGGAUUAGAUACCCCAGUAGUC
rnacentral:rRNA from 1 species